rnacentral:rRNA from 1 species
CACCUCUAGCAUUACCAGUAUUAGAGGCACUGCCUGCCCAGUGACAUUAGUUAAACGGCCGCGGUAUCCUGACCGUGCAAAGGUAGCAUAAUCAUUUGUUCCUUAAUUAGGGACUUGUAUGAAUGGCCCCACGAGGGUUUAACUGUCUCUUACUUUUGAUCAGUGAAAUUGACCUCCCCGUGAAGAGGCGGGAAUACAAGAAUAAGACGAGAAGACCCUAUGGAGCUUAAAUUAAUAUGUUCAACAGAAUUUAAUUAUAGCCCAAUAGGAAUAAAAUAUUCUAACUGAACAAUAAAUUUUGGUUGGGGUGACCUCGGAGUAUAACAUAACCUCCGAGCAAUUAAACCAAGACUUACCAGUCAAGGCUAUAUAACUUAUUGAUCCAAUCUUAUUGAUCAACGAAACAAGUUACCCUAGGGAUAACAGCGCAAUCCUAUUUAAGAGUUCAUAUCGACAAUAGGGUUUACGACCUCGAUGUUGGAUCAGGACACCCAAAUGGUGCAGCAGCUAUUAAAGGUUCGUUUGUUCAACG